GACGAACGCUGGCGGCGUGCUUAACACAUGCAAGUCGAACGGAAAGGCCCUGCUUGCAGGGUACUCGAGUGGCGAACGGGUGAGUAACACGUGGGUGAUCUGCCCUGCACUUCGGGGUAAGCCUGGGAAACUCGGUCUCUUACCGGAUAUGAGCCCUUUUUCUUGUGAUGGUUGGAAAGUUUUUUCGGUGUGGGAUGAGCUCGCGGCCUAUCAGCUUGCUGGUGGGGUAAUGGCCUACCAAGGCGGCGACGGGUAGCCGGCCUGAGAGGGUGGACGGCCACAUUGGGACUGGGAUAAGGCCCAGAAUCCUACGGGAGGCAGCAGUGGGGAAUAAUGCACAAUGGGCGCAAGCCUGAUGCAACGACGCCGCGUGGGGGAUGAAGGCCUUCGGGUUGUAAACUCCUUUCGCUAGGGACGAAGCUUUUUGUGACGGUACCUAGAUAAGAAGCACCGGCUAACUACGUG
rnacentral:rRNA from 1 species